rnacentral:rRNA from 1 species
UUGUUGGUGAGGUAAAAGCUUACCAAGGCUUCGAUCAGUAGCUGGUCUGAGAGGACGGCCAGCCACACUGGGACUGAGACACGGCCCAGACUCCUACGGGAGGCAGCAGUGGGGAAUUUUGGACAAUGGGGGCAACCCUGAUCCAGCCAUGCCGCGUGAGUGAAGAAGGCCUUCGGGUUGUAAAGCUCUUUCAGCCGGAACGAAACGGUUACGGUUAAUACCCGUGACUACUGACGGUACCGGAAGAAGAAGCACCGGCUAACUACGUGCCAGCAGCCGCGGUAAUACGUAGGGUGCAAGCGUUAAUCGGAAUUACUGGGCGUAAAGCGUGCGCAGGUGGUUUUGUAAGUCAGAUGUGAAAUCCCCGGGCUUAACCUGGGAACUGCGUUUGAAACUACAAGGCUAGAGUGUGGCAGAGGGGGGUGGAAUUCCGCGUGUAGCAGUGAAAUGCGUAGAUAUGUGGAGGAACACCGAUGGCGAAGGCAGCCCCCUGGGUCAACACUGACGCUCAGGCACGAAAGCAUGGGGAGCAAACAGGAUUAGAUACCCUGGUAGUCCAUGCCCUAAACGAUGUCAACUAGUUGUCGGGCCUUAACGGGCUUGGUAACGUAGCUAACGCGUGAAGUUGACCGCCUGGGGAGUACGAUCGCAAGAUUAAAACUCAAAGGAAUUGACGGGGACCCGCACAAGCGGUGGAUUAUGUGGAUUAAUUCGAUGCAACGCGAAAAACCUUACCUACCCUUGACAUGUAUCGAAGCCCGCAGAGAAGCGGGUGUGCCCGAAAGGGAACGAUAACACAGGUGCUGCAUGGCUGUCGUCAGCCCGUGUCGUGAGAUGUUGGGUUAAGUCCCGCAACGAGCGCAACCCUUGUCAUUAAUUGCCAUCAUUUAGUUGGGCACUUUAAUGAGACUGCCGG